rnacentral:rRNA from 1 species
UACGUGGGGUGCAAGCGUUGUUCGGAAUUAUUGGGCGUAAAGCGCGCGUAGGCGGUUAAUCAAGUCGGAUGUGAAAGCCCUCGGCUUAACUGGGGAAGUGCACCCGAAACUGAGUAGCUAGAGUACCAAAGAGGGUCGCGGAAUUCCCGGUGUAGAGGUGAAAUUCGUAGAUAUCGGGAGGAACACCGGUGGCGAAGGCGGCGACCUGGGUGGAUACUGACGCUGAGGCGCGAAAGCGUGGGGAGCAAACAGG